AUUAGAGCAUUGGCAAUUAGCCAUUGUCAAGUCUAAAGUUUGGUUAGAAUAUCAACUUUUAACUAGAUGAGUCCAUAUUGGACUAGCUAUUUUAAAGUCAAAAUAAUAAUAUAAUAUUAUAUAUUUUAAUAAUAUUUGACAAAAAAAAAUAUUUAU